rnacentral:rRNA from 1 species
GACGAACGCUGGCGGCGUGCUUAACACAUGCAAGUCGUACGGUGAGGCCCUUUCGGGGGUACACGAGUGGCGAACGGGUGAGUAACACGUGAGUAACCUGCCCACAACUUUGGGAUAACGCUAGGAAACUGGUGCUAAUACUGGAUAUGUGCUCCUGCUGCAUGGUGGGGGUUGGAAAGCUCCGGCGGUUGUGGAUGGACUCGCGGCCUAUCAGCUUGUUGGUGGGGUAGUGGCCUACCAAGGCGGCGACGGGUAGCCGGCCUGAGAGGGUGACCGGCCACAUUGGGACUGAGAUACGGCCCAGACUCCUACGGGAGGCAGCAGUGGGGAAUAUUGCACAAGGGGCGCAAGCCUGAUGCAGCAACGCCGCGUGCGGGAUGACGGCCUUCGGGUUGUAAACCGCUUUCAGCAGGGACGAAGCUUUUUGUGACGGUACCUGCAGAAGAAGCACCGGCUAACUACGUG